AUGGGCCAAUACGCCCCCGCUCCACGCGCGCGGCUCGUGAAAACGAGACCAACUGUCCCCGUUUCUGAUGCCCUCCCCACCGCCAGCACCUCCCCACUCCCCUGGGGCGCUGCCGCAGCCGCGGGCACCUGGGCAGCACUGGGUCGGUGUUUACAAGCAAUACAGCCCAAACAGCCCACGGGGGAAUUGGGCACCGUUGCAGCAGACGCUCGCCCUCGGGGCUCACCCGCGGCUUCACAGAAAAGCAAAAAGCCGCCCCGGAGGCUGGAGACCAAGACAGUAUUUGCCUGGAGCGGUUGCACGAUGAGACAUAAGGAGCAGCCGCUGCUUGGGGGUUACUGGCAGGCAUCCGCGGGCACUCGGUUUGUGCUGGCUCCUCUCUGGAUGGACGGGCCUGGGCGCAGGGUGGGGAGGUUGCAAGUAGACUGGGUGCUCGCUGAGGCCUGGCAGCUCCUGCAGCCUGAAGGGCGGCUGGCGCAUGGAGAGGGCCCCCACGGGACCCUCCGCAGCCCAUGGGAGCUGAGGGAAGGCCCCCAAAAGCUUCGCAUCCCUCUAUGCUGGCAUGCCUCCACAGCCUUCACCAGCUCUCCACCUUCCAUGGGGGUUUGCAGAGGACUUUCCCCAGCAAGGGGAGAGUGCAGGAGGGUUGUUUUAAGCCAGCAGCAGCUUGCCCGAGCUGUAAUAAGCAUCCCGGCGUGCGCGACAACCUCCCCUCCAGCCUCAAUGCAGGCGGCCUCCGGCCUCCUCACCACUGUGGUAGGAUGGGAAAAGGGACAUCGCGACUCUUGCGUAGGUGAUAUAGGACCCUCAUCCCAGGCACGGGAAUCUGGUGGCUCUGCCGGGACGGAUGUGGUGGCUCCUGGCUCUUCGACAAGGCCACAGAGGUCCAAGCCAAGGUGGGCAAAGCCCCUCCAGGUACACGGGGAGCCAGGUGUGGAAGAAGGGGGUCUCCGAGCUGCGUGGUGCUCGCUCCUGCAGAGGUUGGGGGGCUCAAGGACUCCGGAAGGGGCCCACGCCCUGGGGCACGAGGGCUCAGAGACAAGGACGCAGGGUGGGCACUGA
rnacentral:lncRNA from 1 species